rnacentral:tRNA from 1 species
GCCUAGUUAGCUUGGUUGGUAGCGCGUCUGCCUUGUAAGCGCUAGGCCGCGGGAUCGAUUCCCGCCCGGGGCA